rnacentral:rRNA from 1 species
AUACGUAGGGGGCGAGCGUUGUCCGGAAUUAUUGGGCGUAAAGGGCGCGUAGGCGGUGACACAAGUCAGGUGAUAAAGGCACGGGCUCAACCGGUGUUAGGCACUUGAUACUGUGUUGCUAGAGUGCAGGAGAGGGGAGUGGAAUUCCAGGUGUAGCGGUGAAAUGCGUAGAUAUCUGGAAGAACACCAGUGGCGAAGGCGGCUCUCUGGACUGCAACUGACGCUGAGGCGCGAAAGCUGGGGGAGCAAACAGGAUUAGAUACCCUGGUAGUCCCAGCCGUAAACGAUGAACACUAGGUGUAGGGGGUAUCGACCCCCCCUGUGCCGGAGCUAACGCAAUAAGUGUUCCGCCUGGGGAGUACGGUCGCAAGAUUAAA